GAUACUACUGUUGGAAUUUGUAUGCAGGGCAUGCAUGUGUAUUUUAAAUUUUUUUUUCUAAAUAUCAUAAUAGAAUAUAAGAUUAAAAUAAUUUUAAUUUAUAUUAUGUAUGUAUAAAAAUAUAAAUUAUAAGGAUCUAGUUCAUAUACUGAAAUUGUACAUAUACUGAAAUUUAACAUGUGAUCGAAUCACAUACCUGUUUCAUUAUUUCUUUUUUCAAAUCU
rnacentral:lncRNA from 1 species